UUGGAUGGAGGGUUUGAUCCUGGCUCAGGGCGAACGCUGGCGGCGUGCUUAACACAUGCAAGUCGAACGAGGAGGCAGCCUUCGGGCUGUAGUACUAGUGGCGAACGGGUGAGUAACGCGUAGGAAGGUGUCCUCCAGACCGGGACAACCACUGGAAACGGUGGCUAAUACCGGAUGAGCCCGAGAGGGGAAAGCGAGCUAAGGCUUGGCUGGAGGAGCUGCCUGCGACCCAUCAGGUAGUUGGUAGGGUAAAGGCCUACCAAGCCGACGACGGGUAGCCGGCGUGAGAGCGUGGCCGGCCACAGGGGCACUGAGACACGGGUCCCACUCCUACGGGAGGCAGCAGUGGGGAAUAUUGGACAAUGGGGGGAACCCUGAUCCAGCGACGCCGCGUGGAGGAAGAAGUCCUUCGGGACGUAAACUCCUGAACUUACCGAACAAUAAGGAUGGUAGGGAAUGGCCAUCUGAUGAGGGUAGGUAAGGAAAAGCCCCGGCUAACUACGUGCCAGCAGCCGCGGUAAUACGUAGGGGGCGAGCGUUGCCCGGAAUCACUGGGCGUAAAGGGGGUGUAGGCGGUCUAAUAAGUCAGAUGUAAAAGGCCCUGGCUCAACCAGGGAAAUGCGUCUGAAACUGUUAGACUUGAGGUUGCUAGAGGGAGACGGAAUUACCUGUGUAGCGGUGAAAUGCGUAGAUACAGGUAAGAAGGCCGGUGGUGAAGACGGUCUCCUGGGGCAAACCUGACGCUGAGGCCCGAAAGCUAGGGGAGCAAACCGGAUUAGAUACCCGGGUAGUCCUAGCCGUAAACGAUGCCCACUAGGUGUGAGCGGUAGUACCGUUCGUGCUGAAGCUAAGGCGAUAAGUGGGCCGCCUGGGGAGUACGUCCGCAAGGAUGAAACUCAAAGGAAUUGACGGGGACCCGCACAAGCGGUGGAGCGUGUGGUUUAAUUCGAAGCUAAGCGAAGGACCUUACCAGGGCUUGACAUAUAGGUGGUACUCUGCAGAGAUGCAGGGGACCCGGUACUUCGGUACCGGGAGCCUAUACAGGUGGUGCACGGCCGUCGUCAGCUCGUGCCGUGAGGUGUUGGGUUAAGUCCCGCAACGAGCGCAACCCUUGCCGUUAGUUGCCAGCACUUAGGGUGGGAACGCUAACGGGACAGCCGCCGACGAGGCGGAGGAAGGAGGGGAUGACGUCAGGUAAUCGUGCCCCUUAUGUCCUGGGCGACACACGCGCUACAAUGGUAGGGACAGAGGGCAGCGAGGCCGAGAGGUGGAGCGAAUCCCAGAAACCCUACCCCAGUUCAGAUUGCAGUCUGAAACCCGACUGCAUGAAGCCGGAAUCGCUAGUAAUCGCAGGUCAGCCACACUGCGGUGAAUACGUUCCCGGGUCUUGUACACACCGCCCGUCAAGCCACCCGAGUUGGAAACGCCCGAAGAUGGUGAGGCUAACCGAAAGGAGGCCAGCUAUCGAGGGUGGAGUCAGCGAGGGGGGCUAAGUCGUAACAAGGUAGGUGUACCGGAAGGUGCGCCUGGAUCACCUCCUUUCUAAGGA
rnacentral:rRNA from 1 species